rnacentral:lncRNA from 1 species
AUAAGAAACCAGACGCAUCCAAAACACAUUAGUCAUAAAACUCAUCCGAGUUGUAUCAUUUACAAAAUAGAGCAGAAAUUUGAUCACUCUUAGGUGAACAUUACAACUAAAACAUGGUAAAAAAAAACAAAAAGGAAUAAAUUGUUAACAAGAUUCCUUUGACAACGUAACAGAGAUGCAAAUCAUGUCAAUGCUCAUCUGCUUGCAGUUUGAAUUCAAAACAUCUCUUGUCCAUUUUGUCGAGACUCUUCAUGAACUUGUGAUCCAUAUCUUGUUUCUUCUCUCUGAAGUAGUUAUGAAUGAUUUUGAUUGACGUUGCGGUUGUGUCCCAUCUUCAAUUUCCAAAAUCUUGCACUUCUGAGCCAAGGAAGCUUCAUGAUUCAUUAUUGUUAAACUGAACUCUUGUAGGUCUUGUUUACAUAUUCAACGAUGCACGCAACUCUUCACCUCCGUACCCACAUCCCUAAUAAUUUCAACACAGGUAGGGACAAAAUCAAGAUGAUCAUCGGGCGACUGAAAUUGAAACCUUCACUCGAGCCUUCUGUUUGUCCAUUAGAAUUAGAUAUGCUGUUUGUCUCGGAUGCAAUUGCAACCUCUUCAACCUGUGCUGCGACAGGUGUUUGUUCUUCUUGCACUUCUUCAGUUACAUCUAUUAAUAGAGGAUCCAAAGUUAAAGAAAACUAUAAUGAUGUCUUUCAAUUGCUUUGGUUGCAUAAAAUUGAUUGAUGCGGAUCGUGUAGAAAAUGAAAUGGGUACUAGAUCAUGCAAUAUGUGGUUUAUAUAUAACAAAUUCAGAAAACAUACGAUCAAUUUCAAUUCAUUAACCAAAACUCAUUGAGGCAAGCGAGACUUGAAAAUUAAUAAAGCAUAACCUUUAUUCGCGCUUCCUUCAGGAGACAAAUCAUCACUUUGUCCACUCAAACUAGCAUCGAUCUCAUUGUUAUCUGGAACAGCUUCAACAUUGUCAUCUACUUGAAACAGAAAGGAAAUAUUAUUAUUCAGAAAAUGACAUACAAUCAGUAGUUCCAAAUGCGAUAAAUUAGCAGAAAAAGUGUGAGAUAAAAAAAUAAGAACCUUCUGAUUCUGUGAUAACAGAGCAAGGCUCAACUGCAUCGAUAUGUGAUUGUUGUUUAGCUUCGGCAACAAUUUGAUCAACUCCAUUUUCUGUUACACUUUCAUCAGCCACUUCAGAUGUAGAGGUUUGAGAUUUUUUCUUGUGGAUGACAUGAAUGCAGAUUUCCGUGAUAAAGUGUUCCUUAAAAUGUUGUCUAUGAAACACAGACACCAGACGCAGCACGGAAAUUACAACCUAACACAAAUUUAAAACCCCCACUCGGUAAAUCAUAAAAUUCAGUCUAAAAAUUAAAAUAUAAAGUUAACAAAAUUCUUUUGAAUUAUCUUCAGUACCUCUGCUUGCAGUUGACAACAGAGAUUGUUUUUGCGGUUGACUUGUUAGCACUUGUUGACAUUUAAAAAUUAGAAAUCUUAUGUAAGAAUUCAACGAUAUGUCCAAACUCCUAGUUUGAAAUAUGAAGCAAAUAAGAUGAAAUUGCAACCUUUGCUCAGGCCUUCAUCUAAAGUUGUAAUGCCAGUUUGUCUAUUAGAGUUAGAUACACUUCUUUUUUUUUAAUGCAAUUGCAACUUCUUCAACUUGUGUUGCUACUGGUGUUUGUUCUGGCACUUCUUCAGGUGCAGGACUUUCAGGAGAGGGAACUUGAUAAUUUUCUUCUGUUACAUCUGUCAAUAGAGGAUUCAAGGUUAAAUGAAACUCCCUUCAUAACAAAAAGAAAAAAAUCCUCCAUCUCCAUAUAGGAAAAAAAAAAAUCCUCUAUCCGUUAUGUGUAAUAAGCUAAAUAAGCUAGCUAUUAUGUGUAAUAUCAUUCUUGUUAAAUAGCAGCGCUAUAUUGCUACAGCGAGUGGACUAUGAACAAAUUGCUAUUAUUCAGAAUUACGAUAGUUAGUGCAAAAUGUUGUGAAAUAGCAUCUAUAGUGGCGCUAUAAAACUAUUGUGUAGCGGUAAGAAAUUGUUACUUUCAGCGAUACACGAUUGACAACACUGAUUCAAUCAAGCAAGCAGGAUUUGAAAAUGCAUUAAGCAUAACCUAUAUUCAAGAUUCUCUCAGAAGACAAAUCACCACUUUGUCCUGUCAAACUAGCACCGAUCUCAUUGUUCUCUGGAACAGCUCUAUCAUUGUCACCUAUUUGAAAUGCAAAGGAAAUAUUAUUCGGUAAGUUAAUCGGAAAAACCAUGUACAUGUAUGUUACUGCAAAAAAAUAUGAUUGAUUUUUGUUGUAAUUUCGAAAGAGAAAAAAAAUACAUACAAUCAGUAUUUCCAUAUGUAAAAUACUAAUGAGAUAAAUUAUUAGAAAAAGUGUGAGAUAGAAAAGAAGAACCUUCUCCUUCUUGAGGAGCUGGUGCAUUUGAGGUAAUUGUUUACAGCAUCCAAGUCUUCUUCAUAAACUAAACUUUCAGCAUCUGAGUUUACAGUGUCUGUGUCGUAUCUGAUGUCCGUGUCCGUAUCCGUGCUACCUUGUUGGCAACAGUUUUCGAGGAACCGACCAACUGGUAAGUCAGUUUCGACAUUGCAUGUUGCAAUAUCUGUCUGAAUAGCUUCUUCAAUAAUUGAAAUUACAGCAUCUGAAUCUUCCUGAGAAACCAAACUUUCAGCAUCUGAAUCUACGGUGUCCGUGUCCGUAUCCGUGUUACCUUGUUGGCAACAGUUGCUGAGGAACCGACCAAUGAAUCGACCAAUGAUAUGGAGGUUCGAGAUUUUUUUCUGUUGAGAUUCAGUAGAAACUUCAUCUGCAACAGGUGAAUCCGGUGCCUCCGCGGAUACUUCUGUUUCUGUGGCUGAUAUGGAGGUUCGAGAUUUAUUUCUGUGGAUGACAUGAAUGCAGAUUUCAGUGAUAUAGUGUUCCUUAAAAUGUUGUUGUCUAUGAAACACAGACACCGGAAACGGAAAUGAAAUUACAACCUAACAUAUUUAAAACUCCCACCCCGUAAAUUAUAAAAUUCAGUCUAAAAUGCAAGUCAGACAAAGAAAGUGUCACUUCUGCCAACAAAAUCAUACAACAGAGAUUUAUAAAGUGAUGAAUAAUAUAAAAUUAACAAGAUUCUUUUGAAUUAUCUUCAGUACCGCUGCUUGCAGUUGACAACAGAGAUUGUUUUUGCGGUUGACUUGUUAGCACUUCUUGACAUAUUUAAAAAUUAGAAAUUUUAUGUAAGAAUUCAACGAUAUGUCAGCAGGCUGAAAAACCAAAGAAAUGUCUUUAACCCCCCAAAGGUAAAGCAUUGGUUGGUCCAAACUCCCAGUUCUACCGAGGGAAAAGAGAUCCAAUUAAAAAUCGCCACAGAUGAUUCUGUUUGGAUAAACAACUUAAUUAAGCGCGUAUGGCAUACGCACUUAAUUAAGUUGUUUAUCCAUGCAAAACCUAUGUAAAAACUAUUUUAAUAGAAAAAUAUAAAAUAAAGUAAAACAGUUUACAUGCAAGCUAUAAGCUUUUUUCAUAAUUUGAAAACAGCUUAUGGAAAUGUCAUAAGUUGUUUCCCUAAGCUAUCCAGUCAGUCUCUCAAGUUCUUAUGUUGUUAGGUAAGCUCAAAUAAGCCAAUCCAAACAAGCCCACCAUAAAAAAACUGUUCUCUUUUACAUGUAAAAACUAAAAUACAUAUUUACUUCUGUUCUAUGGAGAAAAAUGAGAGUGGAAAUAUGAAGCAGAUAAGAAGAAAUUGAAACCUCUUCAACUUGAUCGCUUUCUUUGGUAUAAUAAAUUGAAACCUGGGGAAGUUUGUUCCUCCUGCACUUCUUCUGUUACAUCUGUUAAUAGAAGAUCCAAAGUUAAAGAAAAAUAUAAUGUUUCUUUGGUACAAUAUCAAAUUCAUAACAAAUUCAGAAAACAUGCGAUCCAAACAUUGAGGCAAGCAGGAGUUGAAAAUUAAUUACACGCCUAAUCUUCCAAGUGUAUGUGCUCCAUAGGCUGUUGUUAUUCACACCCAAAACAUUGAAUUGUGUAAUUUUUUUAAAUUAGUAUUGGUGUCAACGUUUCAAUAUAUUCGUGUUGAGUCAUGUAUCCAUGCCGGUGCUUCAUACAAUUUACCCAAAGAAAAAGGAAAUAGAUAAAAAAUUCAAACUCAAUUAUUGAAAAAAAAAACUUACUUUACAAAUCCAAACGUGUCAGGUUGAGACUCUUCAUGACCUUCUUGUUCUGGUUGUUCAAUUGCCAUAAUCUUACACUUCGGAGCCAAGGAUAUUUUGUGAUUCAUCAUUGUUAAAUUGAACUCUUGUAGGUCUUGUUUACAUACCCAAC